rnacentral:rRNA from 1 species
AAUCAACGCUGGCGGCGUGCCUCAGACAUGCAAGUCGAACGCGAAAGUUUCCUUCGGGAGAUGAGUAGAGUGGCGCACGGGUGAGUAACACGUGAGUAAUUUACCUUCGGUGGGGAAUACUAACCGGAAACGGUUGUUAUACCGCAUAAUGCAGCGGCAUCAAUGAUGACAGUUGUUAAAGCGGGGGAUUGGAGCAAUCCGACCUCGCGCCUGAAGAGAAGCUCGCGGCAGAUUAGCUAGUUGGUAAGGUAAUGGCUUACCAAGGCGACGAUCUGUAACCGGCCUGAGAGGGCGGUCGGUCACACUGACACUGAAUAACGGGUCAGACUCCUACGGGAGGCAGCAGUCGGGAA